rnacentral:rRNA from 1 species
UACUUGGUUGUCGCCAGUGCGCAUACGCUCUUUUUAAAGAUUAAGCCAGCAUAUGCCAGUUCAUACAUUUAAAAUGUGAGAUGUGGACGGUCAGUAAAUCAGUUAUAAUCUGCUCGAUUGUAAAUGGUUAUGGAUAACCGUGGGAAAUUAGAGUAAUACAGCAGGGCUCGGUGUGCGGUUUCCGUGUGCCGAUUGCAUUUAUUAGAGCAAUCCACCGUGUGAGCAAUCGCACGUGGUGAAUCUAGAUAACUUUGCAGAUCGUAUGGCCUCGAGCCGGGACAUUUCGAUUGAAUUUCUGCCCUAUCAACUUUGUUGGCAGUGUAGUGGACUGCCAAGGUUUUGACGGGUAACGGGGGAUCAGGGUUGAUUCGGAGAGGGAGCCUGAGAAACGGCUACCACAUCCAAGGGAGGCAGCAGGCGCGAAAAUUACCCAAUCCAGACAAGGGAGGUGGUGAGAAAAGUACCGGACUGGAAUGAAAACAAUUUAAGCAAUGAAUGAGUAACGACUGGAGGGCAAGUCUGGUGCCAGCAGCCGCGGUAAUUCCAGCUCCAGUGGGUAUCUCAAAGUUGCUGCGCUUAAAACGCUCGUAGUUGGAUCACUCACUGUGUAGUGGUGUGUCCGGUCGACGGUGCUACAUUCGCUCGCCGCAUGCCGAGUUCACCUCGUUGCAGUGGUGGGCGAUGUUCUGUCGUCGGGCAGUUAGCCGCUGCAAGUAAUUGCGCGUGGGGAUGGCCAUUGACCUUUAGUGCGUCGGAGGCUGUGUCUCACGGGGUGUGCCUUGAGUAAAUCAGAGUGCUUAAAGCAGGCGAAAUGCUUGAAUGUUGAUAGCAUGGAACGAACAAUCGUGUAUGGUGUGUGUUGGCAACGGUGCGGGAUUCGUUCGUCACUGCAACACACGACACCGACCACCAAUUACGGAUGUUACCAAUUACGGAUGUUGGUUCCGUAUUGGGGUACUGAUUAAGAGGAGCGGUUGGGGGCAUUGGUAUUUGGCAGCGAGAGGUGAAAUUCUUGGACCUGCCAAGGACUAACAAAUGCGAAGGCAUCUGUCCAGACCGUAUCCAUUAAUCAAGAACGAAAGAGAGAGGUUCGAAGACGAUCAGAUACCGUCCUAGUUCUCUCUGUAAACGAUGCCGACCCGGGAUCAGUCUAGGGCAACUCCUAACGCUCGCGGUUGGUCCCCCUGGGAAACCUAAAGUCUUUCGGUUGCGGGGGGAGUAUGGUCGCAAGGCUGAAACUUAAAGGAAUUGACGGAAGGGCACCACCAGGGGUGGAGCCUGCGGCUUAAUUUGACUCAACACGGGAAAACUUACCCGGUCCGGACAUCAAAAGGAUAAACAGAUUAACAGCUCUUUUUUGAUAUGGUGAUUGGUGGUGCAUGGCCGUUCUUAGUUCGUGGAGUGAUCUGUCAGGCUUAUCCCGGUAACGAACGAGACCACAUUCUCCAUUUGACGAGCUGAAGUAGGUGCCGAUUGUGCGUGUUCGUCGGCAACGGCGUCAUUAUCAGUCGGUACUGCAGGCAGUGUUUGCGUGCCGCCGUGUGGGGAGUGGAAACACAACUUGCGUGGCGGUAACGUGGGUACUCUCUUCAGCCACGCAAAGUGCUGCCGCGAGGGUGGUGCGUUGCAUCAUGGAGAGACAGCGGAAUAUAUUCAAAAUCCGAGGAAGUGUGGCUAUAACAUGUCUGUGAUGCCCUUAGAUGUUCGGGGGCUGCACGCGCGCUACAAUGGCAGCGACAACGAGAAUCUUGGACCGGAAAGUCCGGGCUAAUCCUCAAAUCGCCGUCCGCGC